ensembl:snRNA U6 U6 spliceosomal RNA
AUACUUUGGCAGCACAUAUAGUAAAAUUAAUACAGAGAAGAUUAGCAUAGGAAUGACAUGCAAAUUCAUGAAGCAUUCCAUAUUUCU